GGAUUGCAACUUUUUCUUUUCCUUUUUUAUUUUAAAUUUUAUAGUCAACCCGACCUCGCACCUUCCUCUCUCUUUCGCCUCCUAACAAACUAAACCCUCCUUGAACCCUCCCAUUCCAAGUCUUUACCAAUUCGCUUUACCUAGACUUACUGAGUUUUCAGCUGAAAAUGAGUUCAGCCGCUGUGAGAUUUGCCAAGUUUAUGAGAGUCUCUAUUCCUUCCUGGCCCAACCCAACACUUGCAGUGAGUGUGCAAAGAAGCUCAAAGUUGUGGUGCUCAAGCACCUCAUCUGACAUUGGCAAUGACGAGACAAAGAAAACUGUGGCAGAAGAAGAUCUUGACGAAAUAUUGGGUGAGAAGAAAGAUUCGCAUUUUCAAGCCCAAACUGUGGAUCCCAGGAGGGGCUGGGGAUUUCGCGGUGUGCACAAGGCAAUUAUCUGCGGUAAAGUUGGGCAAGCCCCUGUGCAGAAGAUCUUGAGGAAUGGCCGGACUGUAACCAUCUUCACAGUUGGGACGGGGGGCAUGUUUGACCAAAGAAUAGAGGGUGCAAAGGACUUGCCAAGACCCGCUCAAUGGCAUCGAAUUGCUGUGCAUAAUGAAGCACUUGGGGCUUAUGCGGUUAAACAACUUUUUAAGAAUUCAUCAAUUUAUGUGGAGGGUGACAUUGAAACCAGAGUUUACAAUGACAGCAUCAAUGGUGAAGUUAAGAAUAUUCCAGAGAUAUGUGUUCGUUACGAUGUAGAAAAAGUGCCGACAAGGCGAAUACAAGUUGAAAGGAUAAAUAUCAAUAUUUAGUAUGCCUUGAAAGGACCACCCAUCCCUCCAACCCUUCAAAAAGAAGAAAAGAAAAAUAGAACCCUGUCAUGUUCAUGGGAAGAUUCGUCUUAUAAAGACUGGAGAAAGCAUCAGCAGUAUAUCCUUGGAUGAUCUGCGAGAAGAAUUGGUUUAGCAAACAGUUGAUUGGCACAUCAUGGAAAACACUCAGCCUUGGAAAGGAGGAGUAGCUCAAGCCACUUUUGUAGGAAGCAUAUGUUAUAUUUGCUUGUCUGGUUGCAAGUUGUAAUCUAGCAAAGAAAAAUGCUUGAGUUUUGUUUUUCAAUGUGUUGAUAUAUCACCCAGUUUUCAUUCUUCUCUUUCUUUCCCCAGUGCAUGACGUCAUUUACUCUUCCCUCUCUUCUGGAGAAGGGAGGGUGCCUAACAACUGAGAUCAAUGUGUAAAGACUAUUUGAUGUUCUUAAUCCUAUAAAAUGAAGUCAUUAUUUCCUUUA